GCCCAAAACUUAAUUAAGAAUUAAGAAGUUAUUUGAUUAGAUUCUAGGAUUAUGAAUUGAAGAACCUAAGACACAAACCAUAACACAUUGGGUUAAUGGGUUAGCAAGAAUUAGGUCCAUUAUUUGGGUUAGACCUAUGGUUAGAUUAAAGAUGGACUUAAUUAGAGAAUUGACUAAAUCUAAUCAAUUAUUGUCUUAGAUUAGGUCAAGGAUUCUCUAGAUCAAUUA
rnacentral:lncRNA from 1 species